rnacentral:misc_RNA from 1 species
GAUGAAGAACGCAGCGAAAUGCGAUAAGUAAUGUGAAUUGCAGAAUUCAGUGAAUCAUCGAAUCUUUGAACGCACAUUGCGCCCGCCAGUAUUCUGGCGGGCAUGCCUGUCCGAGCGUCAUUUCAACCCUCGAACCCCUCCGGGGGGUCGGCGUUGGGGAUCGGCCCUGCCUCUUGGCGGUGGCCGUCUCCGAAAUACAGUGGCGGUCUCGCCGCAGCCUCUCCUGCGCAGUAGUUUGCACACUCGCAUCGGGAGCGNGNCGCGUCCACAGCCGUUAAACACCCAACUUCUGAAAUGUUGACCUCGGAUCAGGUAGGAAUACCCGCUGAACUUAAGCAUAUCAAUAAGCGGAGGA